rnacentral:rRNA from 1 species
GCAUAUCAAUAAGCGGAGGAAAAGAAACCAACAGGGAUUGCCCUAGUAACGGCGAAGUGAAGCGGCAACAGCUCAAAUUUGAAAUCUGGCCUUCUGGUCCGAAUUGUAAUUUGCAGAGGAUGCAUUUGACGCGGUACCUUUCGAGUUCCUUGGAACAGGACGCCUUAGAGGGUGAGAGCCCCGUACGAUUGGCCACCAAGUCUCUGUAAUGCUCCUUCGACGAGUCGAGUAGUUUGGGAAUGCUGCUCUAAAUGGGAGGUAAAUUUCUUCUAAAGCUAAAUACCGGCCAGAGACCGAUAGCGCACAAGUAGAGUGAUCGAAAGAUGAAAAGCACUUUGAAAAGAGGGUUAAAUAGCACGUGAAAUUGUUGAAAGGGAAGCGCUUAUGACCAGACUUUUUCCGGGGGGAUCAUCCGGCGUUCUCGCUGGUGCACUUCCCCCGGUUUAGGCCAACAUCGGUUUCUGCGGGAGGAUAAAGGCUUCGGGAAUGUGACUCCUCCGGGAGUGUUAUAGCCCGUUGCAUAAUACCCUCGCGGAGACCGAGGUACGCGCAUUGCAAGGAUGUUGGCAUAAUGGUCAUCAGUGACCCGUCUUGAAACACGGACCAAGGAGUCGAACAUUUGUGCGAGUGUUUGGGUGUCAAACCCUCACGCGUAAUGAAAGUGAACGGAGGUGAGAGCCUUAGGGUGCAUCAUCGACCGAUCCUGAUGUCUUCGGAUGGAUUUGAGUAAGAGCAUAACUGUUCGGACCCGAAAGAUGGUGAACUAUGCGUGGAUAGGGUGAAGCCAGAGGAAACUCUGGUGGAGGCUCGCAGCGGUUCUGACGUGCAAAUCGAUCGUCAAAUCUGCGCAUGGGGGGCGAAAGACUAAUCGAACCCAUCUAGUAGCUGGUUACCCGCCGAA